UACGUAGGGUGCGAGCGUUGUCCGGAAUUACUGGGCGUAAAGAGCUCGUAGGUGGUUUGUCGCGUUGUCCGUGAAAACUCACAACUCAAUUGUGGGCGUGCGGGCGAUACGGGCAGACUGGAGUACUGCAGGGGAGACUGGAAUUCCUGGUGUAGCGGUGGAAUGCGCAGAUAUCAGGAGGAACACCUGAGGCGAAGGCGGGCUACUGGGCCGAUACUGACGCUGAUGCGCGAAAGCCAGGGGAGCGAACGGG
rnacentral:rRNA from 1 species